UCGGUAGCUUAGUAGUCAGAGCAUCCGGGCGUCAACCUGAAGGCCUGGGUUCUUAUCCCAGUCGAAAAU